GAUUGUUGCUCAGUGGUAGAGUGCUCGCCUAGCACUUGUGAGGCUCUGGGCUCGAUCCUCAGCACUACA
rnacentral:tRNA from 1 species